rnacentral:lncRNA from 1 species
CCUUCAGUAGAGGAGAGGAGGAAAAACUACCCAAUCAACCUGAGAUUAAUCCAAGAGGGCAAUAUAUGGCUGAAUUUUAAUGCCUAUGAAAUUUUUUCAAAAUAGGCCAAAUCUAUCAUGACUCUUAGGAAUGAAAAGGUCAUAGAACAACUGAGUAAAAUCAAAAAGAUCAAAACUAAUGAGAAGUUGACUGAACCUGAUCCAUCCAAGGAUAAGGAGGAUCCUAAGGCGAGGGACGAACCAACAUCAUUAGCACCACC